UACGUAGGGUGCGAGCGUUAAUCGGAAUUACUGGGCGUAAAGCGCGCGCAGGCGGUGAUGUAAGACAGAUGUGAAAUCCCCGGGCUCAACCUGGGACCUGCAUUUGUGACUGCAUCGCUAGAGUACGGCAGAGGGGGAUGGAAUUCCGCGUGUAGCAGUGAAAUGCGUAGAUAUGCGGAGGAACACCGAUGGCGAAGGCAAUCCCCUGGGCCUGUACUGACGCUCAUGCACGAAAGCGUGGGGAGCAAACAGG
rnacentral:rRNA from 1 species